CCUACGGGUGGCAGCAGUGAGGAAUAUUGGUCAAUGGGCGGAAGCCUGAACCAGCCAAGUAGCGUGCAUGAUGACGGCCCUACGGGUUGUAAGCUGCUUUUAUACGGGGAUAACGCGCCUUGCGUGUAGGGCUUUGCAUGUACCGUAUGAGUAAGAGCCGGCUAAUUCCGUGCCAGCAGCCGCGGUAAUACGGAAGGUCCGGGCGUUAUCCGGAUUGAUUGGGCUUAAAGGGAGCGUAGGCCGCAUGUCAAGCGUGCUGUGAAAUGUCCGGGCUCAACCCGGGCCUUGCACCGCGAACUGGCGUGCUUGAGUCUGCGGAAAGCAGGCGGAAUUCGUGGUGUAGCGGUGAAAUGCGUAGAUAUGACGAAGAAUCCCGAUGGCGAAGGCAGCUCGCUGCAGCGGAACUGACGCUGAUGCUCGAAAGCGCGGGUAUCGAACAGGAUUAGAUACCCGAGUAGUC
rnacentral:rRNA from 1 species